AAAGUCGUAACAAGGUAACCGUAGGUGAACCUGCGGUUGGAUCAUUAAAAAUCUAAAUAGCCUCUCAUUGUGGCAACACAAUGAAUGUUGGCACCACAUCUUGUGAACCGUAACGUCUUUGGUGGUUGGGCGGUCUGUUUCGUUGAAACGUUCCGUCUGUCAGCAGGGAUCUAAAAGUCUUUGCCGUGGACAUGCCACCACAUGUUUGUUCAAACCUUUUGUUUUUUAAACAUGUCUGACAUUUACUUGUAUUAAUAUACAAACAACUUUUGGCAACGGAUCUCUUGGUUCUC
rnacentral:misc_RNA from 1 species